rnacentral:lncRNA from 1 species
GGCAGUUCCACAAACAAAGAUGGUUUAAUAGAUUUCAGCAUGUUUCCACUUGACAAUGUUAUACGAAAAUAGAAUCUUUAUUAAAAUAGCAAGGCAUAACAAUCACUGCUACUCAGGAAACACUGUGUUUAUUCUUUUUAAUCAUCAAAAUCAAUGACUUUGGGCAAGACCUGUGAAAUCUCAGAGCCUGUUUCUCCAUCUGGAGAACAGGCAGGUAGGGCAUUGCCAGCUCCCUGUGAGUGGGGGCCACUGGUGGGAGGAGAUGGCCCUGGUCGCCCAUGGGAUGAGAAACUUACUCCUGCUUCUGUCCCUGGAGAAGGUCAGGGAGAUGCCAGUGUGGCCUUAAGGCAAUUCUAACACUUGCUUAUCUCGUUUUGUAACAGAGAAGAGAGAGCUCUCAGCCUUGGCCACACCAGCAUGGAGCCCCCUUCCCCAGCGAAUUUAUUUUUCAUGGUCACUUUCUAUUUUUGGCAGUGAGUGAUACAUGUUAUCCACUAUUGGCAGCAAUUGGGGGGAAAAAAAGUUCAUUUUAAAAACAAAGUUUAGGCCGGGCAUGGUGGCUCAUGCCUGUAAUCCUAGCACUUUGGGAGGCCCAGGCAGGCAAAUCACGAGGUCAGGAGUUCGAGACCAGCCUGACCAACAUGGGGAAACCCCGUCUCUACUAAAAAUACAAAAAUCAGUUGGGCGUGGUGGUGUGCGCCUGUAAUCUCAGCUACUUGGGAAGCUGAGGCAGAAGCAUUGCUUAAACCCAGGAGGUGGAGGUUGUGGUGAGCUGAGAUCGUGCCAUUGCACUCCAGCCUGGGCAAUAAGCGUGAAACUCCGUCUCAAAAAAAAAAAAAAAAGUUUAAAAAGCGAGUCUGUUUAAAGGAGAAUAUUUGGUAAACAACAAUAUUAAAAUAUAGCAAAUAAUAGUAACAAUAAUCACAAUGGUAAGGAAACACUUCAUUAGAUCAACUUAAGAGUAUUUUAUUCUUGGCUGGGCGCGGUGGCUCACACCUGUAAUCCCAGCACUUUGGGAGGCCGAGGCGGGCAGAUCACGAGCUCAGGAGAUCAAGACCAUCCUGGCUAAUACGGUGAAAUCCCAUCUCUACUAAAAAUCCAAAAAUUAGCCGGGUGUGGUGGCGGGUGCCUGUAGUCCCAGCUACUCAGGAGGCUGAGGCAGGAGAAUGGUGUGAACACGGGAGGCAGAGCUUGCAGUGAGCCGAGAUCACGCCACUGCACUCUAGCCUGGGCAGCAGAGCGAGACUCCAUCUCAAAAAAAAAAAAAAAAAAAGAGUAUUUCAUUCUUGCCACUGAGCUUAAAAAGAAAGAAAGAAAGAAAGAGUAUUCCUAACAUAUGUCCAGUAAUUUUGAUUCUUAAGCAAGGGAUGAAGAAAUACAAUGGCAUCCAGGUAACUUCCUAACUAGCGCAUAGCAGGUAGCUAACCCACUCAUCUCUCCCUCUUUUCUUUAUAGCUUCUAUUUUUUUUAAAGAGAAAAAUAACGAUUAAAACAAGGGCAGGUUUAAAUAAUCGUCUCCUGAGCUGCACUUCAGUAUCUCAGGUAACAGCUGGAGCUGCCUGGUGGGAGCACAUCUUUUCCUUGAGUGUAAUUCACUAAUGACUGUGGUUCCAAGGAGGUGCGACCUUUAAAGGGAAUUGGCCCUUCUUUGAAGGCAGGUGAGAAUCUAGUCUCAGUGACAACCCAGCCUGAUUUGGAAGGGGGGAGUCAUAAGGGUUUUCGCCCAGCACACCAGGGUUGCAGCCUGCGCAAGACCUUCCAUAGCUAUUUCUGCCGGCUUGCUUCCUUCCCUUCCCAGCCACGAUGAGGCAGCUGAGGGUUGCCACGGAAACCGGCUCUGUCCUCCCACUGGAGGCUGCCAGCUCUGAUUUCCUGCAGAGUUAAGAAGGAGGCGGCAGUGGGGGUCACCCAGGCGUGAAGAUGGGUUUCCCUGGGGAUAUCCUGCCUCCUGCCAAUCACAGCGUCUCUCUGGGAAUCCUGGGGGUGCCUGGAGGCUGAGGCCCAGGGAAGCCCCCAAACCCCAGUGCUGCUCUGAGAAGAGACUAGCCUCUGGGACAUUCAGAGGUCUGGGGUUCUUUUAUCUCCCUCCAGCUAAAGCUAGAGGGACCUCAUUAUGUGUCUUACAAGAUGUACCCAAGUUUAGGUGCCUCUGGCUCUGUCAGCUCCUGAAGUCGAGAAGAAUUGUCCCAUCACCAGUCCCCUUGAGCCCAAAGAACAGGAGUUGCUCAUCCAGCAUUUGCUCCUGGGACAGUAAAUCUGCCUGCAGAGUUCUACAGCUUAUGAGCUAUGUGGCCCCAGGCAAGCAAAUUUUCAUCACUGAUACAUUUGUUCAAAGGGUGGUGCACUCAGGCUGGGUUGGACCAAUUAGCUGGUCCCCACCACCUCUUACAAUGUCACUUCUAAGAGUUAGAACAGGGUCUCACACUCAGAUGCCUUCAGGUCCAGGAGGCGCUGUGAAUGCAGAAGCAGACCCGGUCAGAACCCUGGUGAAGCCGAGAGCACAUGUCCUGCAUAAGGGAGGCGGCUGCCACUCAGCUCUGGCCAAGAGUUACCCUUGGGAAUGUGAGCCCAGUGUGGCCAGAUAUACCAAGUUUUCAAGAGAAGCUGGACAUUUUGAAUGAACUCUCCCAAAGAUGAUAACAACUAAGGCAUUUUUUUAAGUGAAGUCCAAACAAAACACGUCUGCAGACUGGAUCGUGAUCACAGUUGGGGCUUCUGCACUAGAAUGCAUGAAAUCGGCACCUUCUUUUUUGGCUUGAUCAGUCUAAGGAGUCCUGGCUGGCUCCUUCCAGCCAUCUUGUCUGGGCUGUGUCUUCCUUAGCUCCCUACCUGAGUGCUGACACUGAGAAAGCCCAUCCCAUCUGGUGCCUGUCACUCUAGAACAGAGAACUCCACUCCUCAGAGCCCAGUGUUUGGAGGGUGCCCCUGUUCUGCACCGGGAAUGCAUCAGCCUUGGGGGAAGCUCUCCUGCAUUUUCUCAAGUAGUGUGAGCAAUGGGGCAAUCUGGCAAAUGGGGCCCCAGGGAAGCAGAUCUUCUAAGGGACUCCUUUGGUUUUAGCUAGUUUAAGGAUUAUUGGGGGACUGACUGCUGAAUGACAUCAAUGGACACAAAGGACAUCCUGAGUGGCCUUUCUGUGGCCAGCAUCCGCUUUGACUGG